CAGCUACUCCCUCCGUCCGGAAAUACUUGUCAUCAAAAUGGACAAAAAGGGAUGUAUCUAGAACUAAAAUACAUCUAGAUACAUCCCCUUUUAUUCAUUUUGAUGACAAGUAUUUCCGGACGGAGGGAGUACGUA
rnacentral:pre_miRNA from 1 species